GGCCAUUACUUCUAAGGAAGGCAGCAGGCGCGUUAAAAUUACCCCAAUCCUAAUACGGGGGAGGUAGUGACAAGAAAUAUUGAUAUUGGACCCAAAGGGUACAAUGAUUGAAAUGAGAACAAUAUAAAAAACUUAACGACUAACAAUUGGAGGGCAAGUCUGGUGCCAGCAGCCGCGGUAAUUCCAGCUCCAAGAGUGUAUAUUAAAGUUGUUGACGGUUAAAAAGCUCGUAGUUGAAUUUCUAGAAAAUAAUCUUGUGAUUGAUUUAACCGUCAUGAAACAAAAAUUGUUUACAUACUUGAUAGAUGGAAACAUUUAUCUUAAUGACUUUGAAAAAAUUAGAGUGUUCAAAGCAUGAUUCACAUUUGAAUAAUACAGCAUGGGAUAAUAUAAUAUGACAUUAGUUAAAAAUUUGUUGGUUUCUUUGGCUAAUGUAAUGAUUAAAAGGGAC
rnacentral:rRNA from 1 species